AUUGAACGCUGGCGGCAGGCCUAACACAUGCAAGUCGAACGAGUGGCGGACGGGUGAGUAAUGUCUGGGAAACUGCCCGAUGGAGGGGGAUAACUACUGGAAACGGUAGCUAAUACCGCAUACCAUCGGAUGUGCCCAGAUGGGAUUGGCGAGUAGGUGGGGUAACGGCUCACCUAGGCGACGAGCCAUAGCUGGUCGGAGAGGAUGACCAGCCACACUGGAACUGAGACACGGUCCAGACUCCUACGGGAGGCAGCAGUGGGGAAUAUUGCGAAAUGGGCGCAAGCCUGAUGCAGCCAUGCCGCGUGUAUGAAGAAGGCCUUCGGGUUGUAAAGUACUGUCAGCGGGGAGGCGUUACCCGCAGAAGAAGCACCGGCUAACUCCGUGCCAGCAGCCGCGGUAAUUC
rnacentral:rRNA from 1 species